UGCUCUGUCAUUGCUCCGUAGUAAACAUUGAAAAAUAUUGAAUAUUUUUGUGAUUGUGACAAACAUUUGUGUCUAAAACAUAUAGAGUGGUUAAGGACAAAUAGUGGCAUAAUGCCAAAGCGCAGUAUUGUGGGAUGUGGCUCCGGAAGGAAUGAAAACCAGAAAAGUUUGUCUUUGCACCGGUUACCAAGAAGUGAAAAUAGAAAAGGAAAAUGGUUAGAAGCAAUUGAAACUGAAAAUAUCAAGCCAAAUGUAAAGGAUAUAUUGUAGUAUGUUCCCUACAUUUCCCCGAAAGUGCUUUCAAUAGAACAAUGGAUGUGAUUAGUCUGCACGAUGAUGCUAUACCAGUAUGUUUGCCGCUGCAUUCACACAGGGUACCGGUUGAGCCUCAAAUCCCGAACUCAAAAAUGAACAGAGUGAAUCCGAGUGCAUCACAGGCUGCACGAAAUAGUUUAGUUCUAUAAUUUUCUCUGUUAUUAAGUAAUUAUUGUUUUUUUUUCUGUUACCUACUGUAUAUUGUGUUGUUCAUCGUAAUAAAAAACUAUUAUAUACCUA